GAGCGAACAGAGAAGGAGCUUGCUCCUUUGACGUUAGCGGCGGACGGGUGAGUAACACGUGGGCAACCUACCUUAUAGUUUGGGAUAACUCCGGGAAACCGGGGCUAAUACCGAAUAAUCUAUUUCACUUCAUGGUGAAAUACUGAAAGACGGUUUCGGCUGUCGCUAUAAGAUGGGCCCGCGGCGCAUUAGCUAGUUGGUGAGGUAACGGCUCACCAAGGCGACGAUGCGUAGCCGACCUGAGAGGGUGAUCGGCCACACUGGGACUGAGACACGGCCCAGACUCCUACGGGAGGCAGCAGUAGGGAAUCUUCCACAAUGGGCGAAAGCCUGAUGGAGCAACGCCGCGUGAGUGAAGAAGGUUUUCGGAUCGUAAAACUCUGUUGUAAGGGAAGAACAAGUACAGUAGUAACUGGCUGUACCUUGACGGUACCUUAUUAGAAAGCCACGGCUAACUACGUGCCAGCAGCCGCGGUAAUACGUAGGUGGCAAGCGUUGUCCGGAAUUAUUGGGCGUAAAGCGCGCGCAGGCGGUCCUUUAAGUCUGAUGUGAAAGCCCACGGCUCAACCGUGGAGGGUCAUUGGAAACUGGGGGACUUGAGUGC
rnacentral:rRNA from 1 species